rnacentral:rRNA from 1 species
AAACCGUUCAGGGGUAAACCUGAGAAACCCAAAAGAUCGAUCGGGGAGAUUCACCGUCAGCGAGGCUGGUUUCGCGGUGGUAUGCGAUGUCCGGCGCCACGGCGCCGCGACACGCUGCCGCCGUGCCAAUGCCCGGUCGCGUCGGCGUGCACUUCUCCCCUAGUAGGACGUCGCGACCCGUCGAGUGUCGGUCUACGGCACGGGCGUGAGCCUGUCACGUUGCGUCCCCGGGGCGCACGGGGCAGAACCCCGUUGUCCCGACCGGCUGCUCGGCGGUACACGCACGGUAUCGGGCCGCAGACUCUCGAGACUGCGUCCAGCCCGUCGCAAGCGACGGUCAGUGUAUACCCGGAGCGCACGGACCAAGCGCCGUCCCCGGGCCUGGCCCGCUGUUGGUCGACGGUGUCCUCGGACCGGCCAAGAACGCAAUACCGGUCGGCGACGCUACUGCUUUGGGUACUUUCAGGA